GCUAAUCGACGGAUUCGACGAACUCGGUAGAGUUCGAAAAUAACCGAAAAACUGACAGUCGUCUCGUUGUUCACCUCGGCGAGGCAAACAGAGGCGAACAGAGAUCGCCUGUUUCGGCGGGCUUUGGAAUCCCGAUUAGAUCAAUUAGAGUUUGGUGAAAGUGACGAUGACAGAUUGCUUGAUGCGCGCACGAGAAAACGCUCGACGGUGCGAUAUGAUAAUGGUGUGACGAACAAUCUCGUUGAUGAUCACAAAAAGUCCUGCGUGCGUUGCCCACCAGACGUGCCUCGUCUAUAGUCUUCGCAUCUGAUUGUCUGACAGGACGAAGGUGACACACAGGUGAAGAAGGACACAACGUUCUUGCGAGGCGAUCGAUUUUGGAGUUUUCGCACUUGGGAUCGCGGCGGGAAGGCUCUCGCGAAGGAGCGAAACGGAUCAGAGGAGAGCACGACAAACCCCCGUCUCUUAUAGUUUUAUAUAUAAUUUACUGGAUAUACAUAUACUCUAAAGUGUGUGUACGUGUAUGUGUGUGGGUGGGUGGAUGAAUGAAUGUAUGCGUAUGUAUGUGUGUUCGUCGCGAUA